CGCGGUAAUACGGAGGGUGCGAGCGUUAAUCGGAAUUACUGGGCGUAAAGCGUACGCAGGCGGUUUGAUAAGCGAGAUGUGAAAGCCCCGGGCUCAACCUGGGAACUGCAUCCAAAACUGGCAAGCUAGAGUAUGGUAGAGGGUGGUGGAAUUUCCUGUGUAGCGGUGAAAUGCGUAGAUAUAGGAAGGAACACCGGUGGCGAAGGCGGCUACCUGGACCAACACUGACACUGAGGUGCGAAAGCGUGGGGAGCGAACAGGAUUAGAUACCCUGGUAGUCCACGCCGUAAACGAUGAGUGCUAAGUGU
rnacentral:rRNA from 1 species